AACGCUAGCUACAGGCUUAACACAUGCAAGUCGAGGGGCAGCAUGAUUGAAGCUUGCUUCAAUUGAUGGCGACCGGCGCACGGGUGAGUAACACGUAUCCAACCUUCCGUACACUCAGGGAUAGCCUUUCGAAAGAAAGAUUAAUACCUGAUGGUAUCUUAAGCACGCAUGUAAUUAAGAUUAAAGAUUUAUUGGUGUACGAUGGGGAUGCGUUCCAUUAGGUAGUAGGCGGGGUAACGGCCCACCUAGCCUACGAUGGAUAGGGGUUCUGAGAGGAAGGUCCCCCACAUUGGAACUGAGACACGGUCCAAACUCCUACGGGAGGCAGCAGUGAGGAAUAUUGGUCAAUGGACGAGAGUCUGAACCAGCCAAGUAGCGUGAAGGAUGAAGGUCCUACGGAUUGUAAACUUCUUUUAUAAGGGAAUAAAACCUCCCACGUGUGGGAGCUUGUAUGUACCUUAUGAAUAAGCAUCGGCUAACUCCGUGCCAGCAGCCGCGGUAAUACGGAGGAUGCAAGCGUUAUCCGGAUUUAUUGGGUUUAAAGGGAGCGCAGACGGGUCGUUAAGUCGGCUGUGAAAGUUUGGGGCUCAACCUUAAAAUUGCAGUUGAUACUGGCGUCCUUGAGUGCGGUUGAGGUGUGCGGAAUUCGUGGUGUAGCGGUGAAAUGCUUAGAUAUCACGAAGAACUCCGAUUG
rnacentral:rRNA from 1 species